GUUAGCUGACGUAAGUCGUCAUUGCCCGCGACGUGUCUUCUCAUUGGCCGCAGAGAGGCGGAGAAAUGAAGUCGGAAAACAGAUUCAAACCAUGCUUGAAGAUUUGUUUCCGUUUGUUAGUACUAUGAGAAAACGUCGUUAUCGAGGUCUGGAUGCUAAACUCUGUCGAACAUGAGUGAAACUGGACGUUAUACACACUUGUGGCAUGAAGGUGUCACCACUUUGUCCGCGACAUCAUCCAUGAUUGCAGAGACGUCAUCCACGAUCACAGAGAUAUGGUCCAUGAUUGGAGACACAUUGUCGAGGAUGAGGAAGACAUCGUCCACGAUCAGAGACAUUGUUCAUGACUCACAAAGAUGUGCAAAACCAGGACUGAGUCUGCCAGGUGUCACCACUUUAUCCACAACAUCGAUGAUCGCAGAGACAUGGUCCAUGAUCGGAGAGACCUUGUUGAGGAUGAGGGAGACAUCGUCCUCGAUCAGAGACAUUGUCCACGAUCGCAGAGACCUUGUCAAAGACGAGAGAGAUGUUGUCCAUGAUCAGAGACAUUGUCCCGUACUUCGUAGAGACCUUGCGAUAGAAUCGGCGGAGACGGGGGUCACCGAUUUGACGGCAUUGCCCGCGAUCACGGAGACAUUGUCGAUGAUCACAGAGACGCCGUCUAUGAUCUCAGAGACAUCGUCCACGAUCGCAAAGACACUGGUCAUGAUCACAGAGACUUUGUCCAUAAUCUCAGAGACAUUGUCCGCGAUCACAGAGGCGUAGUCCACGAUCAGAGUGUCUUUGUACAAUGAAGAAAUUCUUUGAGACCAGGACAGAGGCCUCCAGGUGUCACCACUUCAUCCACAACAUCAUCCACGAUCACAGAGACAUGGUCCAUGAUCGGAGAGACAUUGUUGAGGAUGAGGGAGACAUCGUCCUCGAUCAGAGACAUUGUCCACGAUCACAGAGACCUUGUCAAAGAUGAGAGAGACGUUGUCCAUGAUCUGAGACAUUGUCCCAUGCUUCGUAGAGACCUUGCGAUAGAAUCGGCGGAGACGGGGGUCACCGAUUUGACGGCAUUGCCCGCGAUCAUGGAGACAUUGUUGAUGGUCACAGAGACACCGUCUAUGAUCUCAGAGACAUCGUCCACGAUCGCAAAGACAUUGGCCACGAUCACAGAGACUUUGUCCAUAAUCUCAGAGACUUUGUCCACGAUCACAGGGACGUAGUCCACGAUCACAGAGUGUCUUUGUACAAUGAAGAAAUUCUUUGAGACCAGGACAGAGGCCUCCAGGUGUCACCACUUUGUCCACGAUCGCAGAGACGUCAUCCAUGAUCACAGAGACGUGGUCUGUGAACGGAGAGACAUUGUCGAGGAUGAGGGAGACAUCGUCCUCGAUCAGAUACAUUGUCUAUGAUCGCAGAGACCUUGUCAAAGAUGAGAGAGACGUUGUCCUUGAUCAGAGACAUUGUCCCAUGCUUCGUAGAGACCUUGCGAUAGAAUCGGCGGAGACGGGGGUCACCGAUUUGACGGCACUGCCCGCGAUCAUGGAGACAUUGUUGAUGGUCACAGAGACACCGUCUAUGAUCUCAGAGACAUCGCCCACGAUCACAAAGACAUUGUCCAUGAUCACAGAGACUUUGUCCAUAAUCUCAGAGACAUUGUCCGCGUUCGCAGAGAGUCUUUGCACAAUGAAGAUGUUCUUUGAGACCAGGACAGAGGCCUCCAGGUGUCACCACUUUGUCCACAACAUUAUUCACGAUCGCCAAGACGUCGUCUGCAAUCACAGAGACAUGGUCCAUGAUUGAAGAGACAUGCAACAAUUGCAGUGACAGAGUUCCUCAUAUAAUGAAGGAAUUCAGGACUGACGCCUCCAGAUGAAUCCACAGAAACAACAGGAUCCACCAACAUGGUGAUGGAGAAGACAACAGCAGCUGAAGACCUGAAGUGGAUGAACGAAAACAAGUCAGAAGGGUUAGGAAGCUCUUAAUUAGAUAAAAGACCUCUUCCACCAUCUAACUGCUGUAAACAGUGUUAGUUUCUUGUCAUUCAAGUGAAAAUACUUUGUUGUUUGUUCUACCAUCUGUAAUGUAGUCAUGGGCACAUUUUCCAAAGACUAACAUGUCUUUAUUGAACACCUGUGAGAACAUUCAACUGCUCAUGAUACAACAAUUUAACCAAUAAUUGAAUCAUGAGCAGUUAAAUGAUCACAAAGAUGCUUAGUAGACAUGUUCAUCUUUGAAAAAUGUGCUCAUAUCUACAUUAACCCUAACCAGCUCUAACAAGUGUUUGUUUGGGGUCAAAUCUGUCAUCAUCUUUGCUGUGAUUUGUUAAAUGUUGACUGGAAUAAAAUCAAUCAUCAAGUGUCUUCCUAAACUUUUGAGUUGCAUUUCUCUAUUUUGAGACUGAUGUUAUACAAACCAUUUUGUUGCAUUUUAUUUUUUAAAAAUGUCAUGAUUUAGACCUAUUGUAAAACAUUUUUAAAAUAUAUUUUAAAAGUUGUACACUCAUUGUUCACAUUAUUUGACACCUUACUAUACUAUAGCAUUUUUUUUAUGUUUUUUGAUGCUUUAUUAUGCUAAGACUUCUUUUGAUGAUUUUUGACAGUAUCUUACGCCUUACUAUACUAUGACGUUUUUUCACAUUUUUAAGCCUUACACACUAUGAUGUUUUUGAUGCUUUGUUAUAACAUGAUAUUUUAACUACCAUUUUCAAUUACAUUUACUUUUGUAUUGUUUCAGAUUACUUUUAUAUUACAAAUUAUUUUUCUUAUUACACAUUACUUCUAAAUUAACAGAUUAUUUAUAUAAUAUUUUUCUAUUGCAGAUUACUUCUAUUGUUACACUUCUUGAUAUACUGAAUAAACAAUUUAAUGUCAGUGCUCUGUGUUGGACAGUUGAUGUAAAGCUGUUUGUGAAUUACCUGGAGGCCUCAGUCCUGGUCUCAAAGAACUUCAUCGAUACUCCGUGAUUGUGGACAACAUCUCUGCGAUUGUGGAGUACGUCUCUGCUGAACCACAACAUAUAACAAACAUUAGAGGCUGUUUCAGAAAAUGAACAGUUGACUGUCAUCACCUCCUGAAGAACCAACAACAAAUAUUUGUGAAAAAGUAAAAUGAUUAUUAAUUGUGUGUCUAUCAACUUAUGUAUGUUACUGUGAACUGCACAACAAUAAUAAACACUAUUAAGUAAAUUUUUGAA